UUUCCGUAGGUGAACCUGCGGAAGGAUCAUUUCCGAACAAAAAACUUACAGACCAACCAUGUGAACCGUUUUGGGUUUUUUCUUACUCUUCCUUUUCCCCUGAUUUGCUGUCCAUCUUCCCUCUCGUAGGGGAGAGAAGACAUGUGAAUCAUGGUUCUCAAAAGGGAGAGGCCAUUAUGAACUACCUUGUCACUAAGGUUGAUUGCUAUCGUUCUUGAUUUUUUUUCCAUACUUUGGAAAAACAAAUAAAUGAUACGACAACUUUUAACGGUGGAUCUCUUGGCUCGU
rnacentral:misc_RNA from 1 species